rnacentral:pre_miRNA from 11 species
CUACACAAACCUCUCUAGAACCGAAUUUGUCGUUUAAAGAUCAAAACAAAUUCGGAUCUACAGGGUAGAUGUAGG